rnacentral:rRNA from 1 species
CCAAUAGCGUAUAUUAAAGUUGUUGCAGUUAAAAAGCUCGUAGUUGAAUUUCGGGAUCAAUACGUCGGUCGUGCCUCGGUACGUACUAACGUUAUUGGUUUCUCCCUUCUAACAAAUCGUGAUGUCAUUAAUUUGGUGUUACGGGGAGUUAGGACUGUUACUUUGAAAAAAUUAGAGUGUUUAAAGCAAGCAAUCGCUCGAAUACAUUAGCAUGGAAUAA